CAGUAGCUUCUGGUCGGUACAAGACCAAUCUCAUUCCAUUUCAUUAAAGAAAAGCACUGACCGCCCACUGCGUGCCUUAUCUCAUCGCCACUCCUCUCCUUCUUUUAUCCAGAUCGCCAAUUCCUCCGCUCAUCCUAAUCCAGCGCUAGUCCUCUUCUUCUUCUCCACCCAAUCUAGCCAAGAGCUGCACGUGCGCGGGGCCGUGGUGGCUGGCCAGCGCAGCACCCCCUAAUCGGCGAUGAACCCAGAGGCCGCCAAGGCUGGCACCUUGGAGCUCCUCUGCCUCGUCCUGAUCUGGCCGACCGUCCCAGUCGUCGGCCCCGUGCUCCGGAUCAGGCCAGAAGCCUUGCCUACGACCUGAUUCAGACUGCGUAGCCUUCGCCACCUGCGCCAUGCCCCAGAGGUUCGGCCGAUCCCGCGUCGUUCAUUCUCGCUUCUUCCUUUGCUCGCGGCUCGCGUUGACUGCGAGAGGCCACAUGCCUCGUCCAACCACAUCCUCUCACUGCCUUGCUCCUCCACCACCACUCCUCUGCCUUCUUCCUCCCCUCCCUGCCAGCCAGGGCACUCUCCCUCUCCCACCUCCGUUCGCCGCAGGUGAGUGCGCGGCUACGGGUGUCUGGCCAGCAGCAACAGCUGCGGCAGUUCCGCGCCCGGAGAAGCCGCGCGCUGGGCGAUGUGGAGGACGACGACCUGCCGCUUCCUCAUUCGGGCGUCCUCCUCUGCGCCGUCGAGAGACGACCAUGGCCGCCCGAUGCCCGAGCACCGCCGGCCAAGGAUCCGCCGGCGUCCAGACCCCCUCACGCCAUCCCCAUCCCCAUCCAGGCGCGAUCGCUGGUUUAUUUUUUUAUUUAUUUUUUGAAAGUCGAUCGCUGGUUUAUUAGUAGGUAGAGAUUAUGAGAAAUCCGUACGUCAUUAUUCUGAUCCUUCCACCGUACCUACUUACCCACCCAAAUAACAACGGAUUGAAGUUAAACCAAGUUUAUGGAAAAAAAUCAACAUUCACAAAGAUCCAUUAUGAAAUAUAUUUUCAUAUUAUGUCUA